rnacentral:rRNA from 1 species
GGUUAAGCGACUAAGCGUACACGGUGGAUGCCCUGGCAGUCAGAGGCGAUGAAGGACGUGCUAAUCUGCGAUAAGCGUCGGUGAGGUGAUAUGAACCGUUAUAACCGGCGAUUUCCGAAUGGGGAAACCCAGUGUGUUUCGACACACUAUCAUUAACUGAAUCC